GCAAAAUUUGUUUAAAGAAUAAAUAAUAACAAAGGAGUAGAACUCGCAGGGUAGAUUAAAUUUGGCCGUAAAUUACAUCAGGGAAUGAGCACUUAAAGCUUUUCAAUUGAUUGUUAUUCUGAAAGCUACUUCCUCACUUUAAAAAUAUUAACAUUUCAUCAGGUCACAUAAGAAAAGAUUCCGACACAAUAUAACAUUCUCUUUUAUCAGAGAAAACUUAUAAAAAAUAAUAAAUAAUAUGUUUUCCUAUCUAGCUACUCUGAUUGUGCCGUUGCCAAACCGUAAGGGCAAUGCUCUUGCAUGUGACCUCAAGUUUGUUAUACUACUUGCAUGGAACAAGGAGCACACUAUUUGGUAUACUUGAUAGAAUUAUAAUUAACUCGUGACCCAUCCAAAAACCAGAAGACUGUCGGGCAGAGAUCAUGCGGCAAUCAAAAAGGAGACAAUACUAUCUCCAUUGUUCAUCAUCCAAAAAUCAUGAGGGACUUGGGUUAGUUAUAGGACACUCAUUUGAACUAAUAUAAUG
rnacentral:misc_RNA from 1 species